UAGAUGGGGGAAGAAAGCGAGAAAGAUGUUCCAAAUGAAUUGAAUUUGUUUUUAAAAAAAGAAACAAUUCAAUUACUCCUACAGUUUCCGUGUCCAUAGCUGUUGAAGACGCGUCUUAUGAGUGCACGAGCGCGCGGUAAAAGACGUUCGCUCACAAACUGCCGGCCGGCGCAGUGUUAAUAAGUCACAGGAAGGUGUGUUUAGAUAAGUGGGGUUCAAUAUUUUAACCUGUAUAUCAUUAUUAAUAACAUUUUUAGGAUAAUAAUCAACUGAAUUUAUAUUCACAAACAAUGAUAUGAAUUUGACUUUUACAAAGACAUGCUAUCACUUUUCAGAAGUUCUACACCCACAAGAAAGAAUGGAGACCCAAGUAACGUAGGCGCAACAGGAUCUGAUGGAUCGAUAUUGUUGGAUAUGGACACUUGUCAAAUAAACGUUAUUGAAAGUGCAUAUACCGAGCCUAGUGCAGCAAACGAUUCUUUAGCGAGUCAGGAAGUUUCUCGUUAUUUGCUGCCAAGUUCUACACCCACAAGAAAGAAUGGAGACCCAAGUAACGUAGGCGCAACAGGAUCUGAUGGAUCGAUAUUGUUGGAUAUGGACACUUGUCAAAUAAACGUUAUUGAAAGUGCAUAUACCGAGCCUAGUGCAGCAAACGAUUCUUUAGCGAGUCAGGAAGUUUCUCGUUAUUUGCUGCCGUAAGUACAACAUAUUUCUGUAUUUUACAUAUGCUUCUUUAUACAGGGCAUAUUUCAGUUACUAUUAGCGAAAAGAAAUGUCUACAGUGUCUUGUUUUUGCUACUGUUACUGUAAGGUAAUGUCAAAUAGCUGUUACAUGAGCGAAAACUCUCUUUUGCGUCAAAUACAUUUCACAUACAAUGGUGGGUUUAUAUAAUUCAUCUUUACGCAAAUACAUGCUAUCAUUUUUCAGAAGUUCUACACCCACAAGAAAGAAUGGAGACCCAAGUAACGUAGGCACAACAGGAUCUGAUGGAUCGAUAUUGUUGGAUAUGGACACUUGUCAAAUAAACGUUAUUGAAAGUGCAUAUACCGAGCCUAGUGCAGCAAACGAUUCUUUAGCGAGUCAGGAAGUUUCUCGUUAUUUGCUGCCAAGUUCUACACCCACAAGAAAGAAUGGAGACCCAAGUAACGUAGCCGCA